CGGGUGGUACCAUUUAUAAUAGACUAGAAACACACACUUAAAGUUCGCUCUAGAUGUCUCUCUCAUGCUUCAACAUACCAUGUGACCAUAUAGACACUUUAUAUUAGUUUUAGUAUGUCUCGUAAAUACUCCGAGGUGACAUGAAAAAAUGAGUGUCUCGCUCAUAUUUGAGCAUGUGAAAAUGCAUAAAAUUAUAUUUUUACUUUAAUUUUUUUCAUGUGGACCCCGUCUUCUUCAUCUCCAAUCAAGCCAUAGCCACCAUCACCAUGUUUGAUCUUUUCUUGUUCUGAAAGAUGGAUUUCACAUUACCUUUUUUUUCUCUCGCCUCACCAUCUUCACUUUGCCACAAGCUCAUCUUCUCCAUUUGUCUUCCACCAUAUGAGCUUUACCAAACUUCACUCUAAUACUCAAAACAGCCAUGUACAUAAGCUCUUUUAAGUCAAAAAACGAGCAGCCCCAUCACUAUCAAACAACUCGCACACAGAAGUACAAAAACACCAUGUAACCAUCACCCAUCUUCUCAACCUAAAAAUAACAAAAAAUUUGUCAAUUUGUCCAAAAGUAACAUGAAGAAGAAAGAAAAACCUCGUUACCUCCAUCUCCUCGUAAACAAUAUCUGGAUCAUUCAAAAACAAUAACAUUUAACAUUAAGAAGAAGAAAAAUCUAAA
rnacentral:lncRNA from 1 species